GAGUUUGAUCCUGGCUCAUGACGAACGCUGGCGGCGUGCUUAACACAUGCAAGUUGAACGGUAAGGCCCCAGCUUGCUGGGGUACACGAGUGGCGAACGGGUGAGUAACACGUGGGUGACCUGCCCCGCACUUCGGGAUAAGCCUGGGAAACUGGGUCUAAUACCGGAUAGGACCGCACCGUGAGGGUGUGGUGGAAAGUUUUUCGGUGUGGGAUGGGCCCGCGGCCUAUCAGCUUGUUGGUGGGGUAAUGGCCUACCAAGGCGGCGACGGGUAGCCGGCCUGAGAGGGUGGACGGCCACAUUGGGACUGAGACACGGCCCAGACUCCUACGGGAGGCAGCAGUGGGGAAUAUUGCACAAUGGGCGGAAGCCUGAUGCAGCGACGCCGCGUGGGGGAUGACGGCCUUCGGGUUGUAAACUCCUUUCACCAUCGACGAAGGUUUUCUGACGGUAGAUGGAGAAGAAGCACCGGCUAACUACGUGCCAGCAGCCGCGGUAAUACGUACGGUGCGAGCGUUGUCCGGAAUUACUGGGCGUAAAGAGCUCGUAGGUGGUUUGUCGCGUCGUCUGUGAAAUUCCGGGGCUUAACUCCGGGCGUGCAUGCGAUACGGGCAUAACUUGAUUACUGUAGGGGAGACUGGAAUUCCUGUGUAGCGGUGAAAUGCGCAGAUAUCAGGAGGACCACCGGUGGCGAAGGCGGGUCUCUGGGCAGUAACUGACGCUGAGGAGCGAAAGCAUGGGUAGCGAACAGGAUUAGAUACCCUGGUAGUCCAUGCCGUAAACGGUGGGCGCUAGGUGUAGGGGUCUUCCACGACUUCUGUGCCGUAGCUAACGCAUUAAGCGCCCCGCCUGGGGAGUACGGCCGCAAGGCUAAAACUCAAAGGAAUUGACGGGGGCCCGCACAAGCGGCGGAGCAUGUGGAUUAAUUCGAUGCAACGCGAAGAACCUUACCUGGGCUUGACAUAUACAGGACCGGGCCAGAGAUGGUCCUUCCCUUGUGGCUCGUAUACAGGUGGUGCAUGGUUGUCGUCAGCUCGUGUCGUGAGAUGUUGGGUUAAGUCCCGCAACGAGCGCAACCCUUGUCUUAUGUUGCCAGCACGUAAUGGUGGGGACUCGUGAGAAACUGCCGGGGUCAACUCGGAGGAAGGUGGGGAUGACGUCAAAUCAUCAUGCCCCUUAUGUCCAGGGCUUCACACAUGCUACAAUGGUCGGUACAGUGGGUUGCGAUGCCGUGAGGUGGAGCUAAUCCCUGAAAGCCGGUCUCAGUUCGGAUCGGGGUCUGCAACUCGACCCCGUGAAGUCGGAGUCGCUAGUAAUCGCAGAUCAGCAACGCUGCGGUGAAUACGUUGCCGGGCCCUGUACACACCGCCCGUCA
rnacentral:rRNA from 1 species